UAUAAGAGGUCCAGCCUGCCCAGUGACUCUGUUUAACGGCCGCGGUAUCCUAACCGUGCGAAGGUAGCGUAAUCACUUGUUCUUUAAAUGAGGACUAGUAUGAAUGGCACCACGAGGGUUAUACUGUCUCCCUUUUCUAAUCAGUGAAACUAAUCUCCCCGUGAAGAAGCGGGGAUAAAAAUAUAAGACGAGAAGACCCUAUGGAGCUUUAAACUAUAUAGCACUUACUACCAAUUUUACAACUCACGAGUUCCUUCCAUAUUAGCUACUAUGACUAUAAGUUUUUGGUUGGGGUGACCACGGAGCACAACAUAACCUCCAUGUUGAAGGAAUUUAUUUCUAAGCCAAGAGCCACAUCUCUAAGAAUCAAUAUCUUGACAUCAAUUGACCCAAUAUACUUGAUCAACGAACCAAGUUACCCUAGGGAUAACAGCGCAAUCUACUUCAAGAGCCCCUAUCGACAAGUGGGUUUACGACCUCGAUGUUGGAUCAGGGUCCCCCAGUGGUGCAGCCGCUACUA
rnacentral:rRNA from 1 species